UGGAAACAUUUUAAGUUUCAAGAAAAUCAGAGAAAUGCUCUUUUUCCCCUUACCUCAAGGCCCUCUUUCCUCCAAGAGUAUGAAAUUUAAAUUUACGUGCUGUACCUAAGAUCAGAGAAAAGAAAUGGUUAAGUAAGAUUGCUAAAAUAGUCCUUGGAAGUUUUUCAUUGGUAAAGGUAUUUGUAAAUUUUAAACUUUUUUUUAAACAGAUAAAAUAUUGACAAAACUAUUAAUGUGCUCUUGGAAUAGCUUUCUAAUUUUUACCACACUAAAAGUGGAUUGAAGUCAUUGUCAAAAAUAUUCUAGUGCUUUUCCUCCUUCUGUUUUGUUUUGUUUGCAUAUAAGCUUGAAAAGAGAAUUUCUUUGGUAAAAAGAGUUUUAAAAUAGAUUUUAUAUCCUUUUGUUGAGUAGUAGUGGAGGACUUUCUCAAAUCAGGUGUAAAUGACUUACCUAUUUACAGUAGCAAGUGAGAAAAAAGCUGAAAUUUUCUGUUAAGGAGUUUGGAUUAUGCCUCUGAGAACAAAGAGGAAGCAGCCAUGUUAGCAUUACUGAAGGCAAAACCAUCCUUGCAUUUACCUGCAUGAUGGUAGAGGACAUUCUGAUUUCUGGUUAUUCUGUAGACUGUCUCAAAUCCUUUUUGUCUGUUCCUAUUUCACUAACAGAAUUCAGAAGGAGAUAGCUGAAAUAACCCUUAAUCCUCUCCUAACUGCAGGUAAGAAACAAAUUUUGUUAUUUUGAUUUCUAAAUUGUGGAACGAUAUCAGGAGAUUAAUGUAUUAUCCUUGUAUGUAUGUGCAGCAGAAGAGGCUAGCUAGCUAUGUUUGCUUCCUUAAAGCUUUGCAAGUGCUUUAAACAAAAAUUGCCUAGGUGAAUUAAAUUAAAUUAGGAGAAAAA
rnacentral:lncRNA from 1 species